CAAAUCAGAUUAAAGUCCAAUUAAUAACAGUAAAUCAAAUUUUAAUCAAGGUGAAAGUUUAAAAAAAGGAUUAGGGUUAAGAAUGUGACCAUUGAGCUUUCAAACGUUCUUCUCCUCCUCACGCAAAACACCGUCGGCGGCCGGAGGUCUCUCCCUCAACCUCUCCGAUCUCCGAUUCACCCUCUCAUCUCGGUAUCUUCACGCCUGUCUCAUCUCAGAUUCAAGUUCAAUCUCUCCACUUCCAUUUCGAUUAAUUCUCCCAGUUUCUCCGCUUCAAUCGCUUCGAACGGCCGGAAUUGCUCCGACGGCUUCCUCAAGAGACAGAUAGGUUAUUUCUCAUUCUGAUUCAACUUCUCGCCACCGUAGUUUAUGGCGGAGAACACAAACGAAUAUGCAGCAAUGAGAGAAGCUUGUCGACCGGAGAGCGUCCGCCGCACCUCCGAAGACCGCAAGAUCAACAAGAAAACCGUAAAUCUUUCGUCGUGCAAAGUUCAGAAAAUGGAGUUGUUGUUGAUGCUGAGGCGAUGAUGAUACGUUGAUAGAAGGAUGGAGUUUCUUGCGCUGAACUGUGAGAAUUGAAGAUUAUCUUGAGUUAUGGAGGAUUCGUGAGGAUUUGAGAUUAUGAGAGUAAUGAUGAUUCUUUUCUUCUUUGUCUGAGCUUCUGUUACACUUUUCUUGUGAUGCUGAGAAUCAAAUUAUGGCGGAGAAGUGUUGAAGGUGAUGAUUAUGGUUCGAGAUUGAAUUUUCUGAGUUUUUGAUGGAGAAUUCGUGAGAGGGAGAAGUAAUAGGUUGUGGAUUGAAGAAGGUUCAUAGUUUGAAGAGUGGUGGUGAUUGAGGAUGAUGAUUGAUUCUGAGAUUGUGAAGAUUCAAUUGGAUCUUGAAGAAAGUUUGUUACAGGUUUUUGCUCAGGGCGAGAGAGAGAAAGAGAGAGAGAGAGAGAGAGAGAGAGAGAGUUUCUUUCUGUUGAAAGUUUGUUACGUUUUUUUUUGUGAGUUUCUCUUUUCCUCUUCUGGUUUUCUGUUAUGUAUCGUGAGAGAGUAAUUGAAGAUGAUGAGAUCGUGAAAGUUGAAGAGUGUGAAGGAUUAUGGAGAGAUCGAGAAAACGGUUAUGGUGGACGAUUCAAGGAUCUGAAGUUUGUUACAUCUCCCUUCCAUUCUGUUACCUUCUUCCCUCUUCUGUUAUCCAUUUUCUGGUGCUGGCUCGGUUUUGUUAGCAUGCUUGUAUGCUUGGAAUGUCCUUGGCAUUGUUUGAAAAAGAAGUAGCAAAGGCCUAUUGGGCUUCAACUGGAGAUUGAAGAUUAGGAUAGAUAAAGAGAUUUGGUUUUCUAUUCAUGAAUGAGUUAUAUUGGAAUUUUUGUAAUGAGUUGGACUCUUCUUGAAUGUGAAUUGUGAUGAUAGAUCUUGCAAUGAGUUUAUCAAAGAAUGUCUCUUUUGAA